UCGGGCUAUGAUUGUCCAAACGCAAUUCUUGUCUGUGCCUUGAGAUACCAAGAAUUGUGUGGGGACAUCAGCGCUCGG
rfam:Nasonia vitripennis chromosome 1, whole genome shotgun sequence.